CCUGUACGGAACAGGAGGUUAAAGGUGCUGAUUCUCCAAGGAGGGAGAUUGCUAGUAAAGCGGCUGGAAUGGCGAACCCGAGCACAAGGAGAUGAGAAAUGAGGACAAAUUGCAACCUGUACGGAACAGGAGGGUAAAGGUGCUGAUUCUCCAAGGAGGGAGAUUGCUAGUAAAGCGGCUGGAAUGGCGACCCCGAGCACAAGGAGAUGAGAAAUGAGGACAAAUUGCAACCUGUACGGAACAGGAGGUUAAAGGUGCUGAUUCUCCAAGGAGGGAGAUUGCUAGUAAAGCGGCUGGAAUGGCGACCCCGAGCACAAGGAGAUGAGAAAUGAGGACAAAUUGCAACCUGUACGGAACAGGAGGGUAAAGGUGCUGAUUCUCCAAGGAGGGAGAUUGCUAGUAAAGCGGCUGGAAUGGCGACCCCGAGCACAAGGAGAUGAGAAAUGAGGACAAAUUGCCACCUGUACGGAACAGGAGGUUAAAGGUGCUGAUUCUCCAAGGAGGGAGAUUGCUAGUAAAGCGGCUGGAAUGGCGAACCCGAGCACAAGGAGAUGAGAAAUGAG